UACGGAGGGUGCAAGCGUUAUCCGGAUUCACUGGGUUUAAAGGGUGCGUAGGUGGGUUGGUAAGUCAGUGGUGAAAUCUCCAGGCUUAACUUGGAAACUGCCAUUGAUACUAUCAAUCUUGAAUACCGUGGAGGUCAGCGGAAUAUGUCAUGUAGCGGUGAAAUGCUUAGAGAUGACAUAGAACACCAAUUGCGAAGGCAGCUGGCUACGCGGAUAUUGACACUGAUGCACGAAAGCGUGGGGAU
rnacentral:rRNA from 1 species